GGCAUUCUGGCUUCAACGACAAUCUAUGCUCCACAAUCUCAAAAUCCAAACCAGGUAUAUCUUGAUAGGACCAAGAAAACACAUCAGACUAGUCUCGAAGAAGAUCAAUCAACCUCUUUUUAGCUUCUAGACACAGUUGAGACCUAAUCUUGACUUCCUUCACAUCACCAUUGGAACCUAAGUUGACUAAUUCAAUUUGCUCUUCAAACGGCUGAAUGGCUUUCUCCUCGUGCUCAAGCAAACAUGAUAACUCAUUAGAUACUUCUU
rnacentral:lncRNA from 1 species